rnacentral:rRNA from 1 species
GGGGUAGCUUGCUACCCGCUGACGAGCGGCGGACGGGAGAGUAACGCGUGAGAAUCUGCCCAUCAGUGGGGGAUAACCCGGGGAAACUCGGGCUAAUACCGCAUACGUCCUACGGGACAAAGCAGGGGACCUUUUGGCCUUGCGCUGAUGGAUGAGCUCGCGUCGGAUUAGCUUGUUGGUGAGGUAAAGGCUCACCAAGGCGACGAUCCGUAGCUGGUCUGAGAGGAUGAUCAGCCACACCGGGACUGAGACACGGCCCGGACUCCUACGGGAGGCAGCAGUGGGGAAUCUUGGACAAUGGGGGCAACCCUGAUCCAGCCAUGCCGCGUGUGUGAAGAAGGCCUUCGGGUUGUAAAGCACUUUCAGUAGGGAGGAAGGCUUCCGGUUAAUACCCGGGAGUACUUGACGUUACCUACAGAAGAAGCACCGGGCUAAUUUCGUGCCAGC